AUACGGAGGAUCCAAGCGUUAUCCGGAAUCAUUGGGUUUAAAGGGUCCGUAGGCGGGAAUCUAAGUCAGUGGUGAAAUCUUGCAGCUCAACUGUAAAAUUGCCAUUGAUACUGGAUUUCUUGAAUUAGUGUGAAGUGGUUAGAAUGUGUAGUGUAGCGGUGAAAUGCAUAGAUAUUACACAGAAUACCAAUUGCGAAGGCAGAUCACUAACACUAUAUUGACGCUGAGGGACGAAAGCGUGGGGAGCGAACAGGAUUAGAAACCCUAGUAGUCC
rnacentral:rRNA from 1 species